rnacentral:rRNA from 1 species
CAGCCGCCACGGGAAUACGGAGGGUGCAAGCGUUAAUCGGAAUUACUGGGCGUAAAGCGCACGCAGGCGGUCUGUCAAGUCGGAUGUGAAAUCCCCGGGCUCAACCUGGGAACUGCAUUCGAAAAUGGCAGGCUAGAGUCUUGUAGAGGGGGGUAGAAUUCCAGGUGUAGCGGUGAAAUGCGUAGAGAUCUGGAGGAAUACCGGUGGCGAAGGCGGCCCCCUGGACAAAGACUGACGCUCAGGUGCGAAAGCGUGGGGAGCAAACAGGAUUAGAUACCCGAGUAGUCCCUGUCUCUUAUAC